CACAGUUGCCUGGUUAUGUAAUAAAAAGAAAUCCCUCAGUUAUCAUGUGACUGGUUGGUAUCUCCACUGACACCACUGAAGUUCUACUGAUUUCAGCAGAGCUACUCUAGAUUUACCUCAGUGUAAAUGGGAGGAGAAAUGGGCCCAAAUGCUUCAGAAAACACCAGGGUGUCCCUGGAGCUGCACUAGCUGCAGCUCCCUGCACCUCUCACAGAUUAAAAACUCAAAUCUGUGGACAAAUAGCUGCAAAAAGGCUUGGGAGAAACCAGCCUCUGAGCCUCUUCCCUCUCGCAGCAAUAUCCCCAAGGGGAGUCGGCAGCAGCAUCGUGCCUCUUCCCUGCUCCCUAAUCAAAGGCAGGAGCUGAUCUAAACAGGCUGGAUUUGCAAGUGCCUCCUCCCUGGGAACAGAAUUCUGAAGCUUGCAACACAGACUGGAAAGGCAGCUCAAGUCCUUUUAGACAAUGAACAACAGUGGAGGGGACUGUAUCCACGAAAU
rnacentral:lncRNA from 1 species